rnacentral:misc_RNA from 1 species
GAUGAAGAACGUAGCGAAAUGCGAUAGGUAAUGUGAAUUGCAGAAUUCAGUGAAUCAUCGAAUCUUUGAACGCACAUUGCGCCCCCUGGUAUUCCGGGGGGCAUGCCUGUUCGAGCGUCAUUUCACCACUCAAGCCUCGCUUGGUAUUGGGCAACGCGGUCCGCCGCGUGCCUCAAAUCGACCGGCUGGGUCUUCUGUCCCCUAAGCGUUGUGGAAACUAUUCGCUAAAGGGUGUUCGGGAGGCUACGCCGUAAAACAACCCCAUUUCUAAGGUUGACCUCGGAUCAGGUAGGGAUACCCGCUGAACUUAAGCAUAUCAAUAAGCGGAGGA